rnacentral:rRNA from 1 species
UUCGAGACCGAUAGCAAACAAGUACCAUGAGGGAAAGGUGAAAAGGACUUUGAAAAGAGAGUUAAAAGUGCUUGAAAUCGCUGAAAAGGAAGCGAAUGGAACCAGUGUUGCUAGACGAGAUUGUCAUGCGCUAAGGUGAUUGCUUGUUGCUUCAACGCAAGUGUGGUCUCAAGUUUUGAUCUGGAUGCACGUGGUGGUUCUUGUCUUGUGUGUCAACGCCAAUUUUCAAUCGAGGAAAGCUCCAGGGACAUGGUGGCCUUGCCUCCGGGUGGGUGAAUGUGCCUGGCAGAACUCGCUUGUGAAUUGAUUACGGAGUCUCUGGUUGCAGUGUUCUGUGUCUGCGACAAGCCUGGAGAGGGAGUUCUCUCCACUCCCGGGUGGGUCGGGCGACAACGGCGCUUCCCUGACACAUAGACGAUGACUAAAUGGUUCUAUUCGACCCGUCUUGAAACACGGACCAAGGAGUCUAACAUAUGUGCGAGUUCACGGGCGGGUAAACCUGGUUGCGCAAUGAAAGUGACUGCUGGGAUCUUUGCACCAGCAACCGACCAAUCAAGUGAGAGAGGUUUGAGUAUGAGCAUAUCUGUUAGGACCCGAAAGAUGGUGAACUAUGCUUGAGAAGGGCAAACUCAGGGGAAACUCUGAUGGAGGCUCGUAGCGAUACUGACGUGCAAAUCGUUCGUCAUACUUGGGUAUAGGGGCGAAAGACUAAUCGAACCAUCUAGUAGCUGGUUCCCUCCGAAGUUUCCCUCAGGAUAGCUGGAGUUGAACAGUUUUAUCAGGUAAAGCGAAUGAUUAGAGGAAUCGGGGGCGCGUUGUCCUCGACCUAUUCUCAAACUUUAAAUGGGUAAGAUCCAGUGGUUACUUGGGUGAACUUCUGGGAUAAAUGACAACUCUAAGUGGGCCAUUUUUGGUAAGCAGAACUGGCGAUGAGGGAUGAACCUAACGUUGGGGUUAAGGUGCUUAACUGCUCGCUCAUCA